GAUGAAGAACGUAGUGAAAUGCGAUAAGUAAUGUGAAUUGCAGAAUUCAGUGAAUCAUCGAAUCUUUGAACGCACAUUGCGCCCGCCAGUAUUCUGGCGGGCAUGCCUGUUCGAGCGUCAUUUCAACCAUCAAGCCCCCGGGUUUGGUGUUGGGGAUCGGCUCUGCCCUUCUGGGCGGUGCCGCCCCCGAAAUACAUUGGCGGUCUCGCUGCAGCCUCCAUUGCGUAGUAGCUAACACCUCGCAACUGGAACGCGGCGCGGCCAUGCCGUAAAACCCCAACUUCUGAAUGUUGACCUCGGAUCAGGUAGGAAUACCCGCUGAACUUAAGCAUAUCAAUAAGCGGAGGA
rnacentral:misc_RNA from 1 species